UGCAUCGAACUGCUUCCCUCACUUUCGAUCAGUUGUUGCUCCACGAGAUAAACGUUGGACGCAAGACAUGGGUUCCUGUGUUGCAUACCUAUUGCGACGGAAAUGUGUGCCUUCGAUCGUCCCUUCCAUCACGGCGUCCUCACGGAUGCUCGGUUGGACCGGAUAGUGGGGCUCGUGUUCCACGAACGUCGUCUCAUUCGACCGUUCGGAUGGACCACGGGUGCCCACUCGUUCUCUCGGAUGCGGAACUCUCUUAAUGGGCGUGGGGUCAUUGGCCCUUGGUCCCUAAUCGUUAAGCGUUUAUCGCUUCACCGGAAUGACGAUCUCGCCUUGUCCUUGACCACGCGAAGCCCUCGGGCAUCGCGACGGAUCAUGCUCGGCGGACGUCGUGAAGGAAUGC
rnacentral:misc_RNA from 1 species